CUGACAAAACGUCCUACCCAUCAAGCUGCCCUACUUGUUGUUACUGCGCAUGCGCACAAUUCAAAACGGCCAUGUUUCCGGUGUAAAUAGUACACGCCUAUUAUUUCAUCCUACCCCGAUCUUGUGCCGAUCUCAUUGCUUUCGAAAAAAGUUAUGGAGAAGAAAUACGAGGAACUGCUCGAGUUCUGCUGAGUUUUGCUGUUAAAGUUUGCAGAACACUACCUUGCUUUUGGAGAGGUCAGUGAAGUAUUAACCACUACAGAAGCAGUUGUGCUGGAGCGAAUGCAGAUAGCUUGCACCCUACUUGAACAUCGAGGGAACGCUGAGGAUUACUGCAUUGUUUGCUCUAUGUUAGAUGCUGACGCUGACCGCAGCAUGAUUGAAAUGGUGCAGUGUGAAUCUCACCAAAGAUGGGCACAUUUUGCAUGUGCAAAAUAUAAAGAGAGCAACCAAGAAUAUAAAUGCAAAAAAUGUAAGGAAAACACAUAACAACUUCAAAUAAAAACAGCUGUCUUUUCCCCUCCAUGUCUCUUUGCAUUAUUUGUCAACAUUAGAUGAUUGUGUGCUGGAGGCAUGUUUUAAUAGUGUGAUUUGGCCAUCAGAAAAUGCUACCUAAAUAAAUCCCAGCAGGAAGCACGUUUUAAUAGUGUGAUUUGGCCAUCUGAACAUGCUACCUAAAUAAAUCCCAGCAGGAAGCACGUUUUAAUAGUGUGAUUUGGCCAUCUGAACAUGCUACCUAAAUAAAACCAUGCAGGAAGCAUGUUCUUAACGUCCUAGCGAAAUAACUCAAAGUUUUUAAGUAUGAUUUGGCCAUCUGAACGUCCUACCUAUACGACGGAGCCAUUAACCACGUAAGGUAGCAUAUUCUGAUAAGGUAGCACGGAUUGAUAGACAAGACCAUAAAUUUACGCUACG